GUGCUCGCUUCAGCGGCACGUAUGGUAGAACCGAACGGUACAGAGACGAUCAGCAUGGCCCCUGUGCGAGGACGACACGCAGAUUCAUGAAGUGUUUCAUAAAAAA